rnacentral:rRNA from 1 species
AGUGAACGCUGGCGGUAGGCCUAACACAUGCAAGUCGAACGGCAGCACAGUAAGAGCUUGCUCUUACGGGUGGCGAGUGGCGGACGGGUGAGGAAUACAUCGGAAUCUACUUUUUCGUGGGGGAUAACGAAGGGAAACUUACGCUAAUACCGCAUACGACCUACGGGUGAAAGCAGGGGAUCUUCGGACCUUGCGCGAUUGCAUGAGCCGAUGUCGUAUUAGCUAGUUGGCGGGGUAAAGGACCACCAAGGCGACGAUCCGUAGCGGGUCUGAGAGGAUGAUCGGCCACACUGGAACGUGGACACGGUCCAUACUCCUGCGGGAGGCAGCAGUGUGGAAUGUUGGACAAUGGUCGCAAGCCUUAUCCAGCGAUACCGCGUCUGUGAAGAAGGCCUUCGGGUUGUAAAGCCCUUUUGUUGGUAAAGAAAAGCAGCAGGUUAAUACCCCGCUGUUCUGACGGUACCCAAAGAAUAAGCACCGGCUAACUUCGUG